AUUGAACGCUGGCGGCAGGCUUAACACAUGCAAGUCGAGCGGGGUGAUGGUGCUUGCACUAUCACUUAGCGGCGGACGGGUGAGUAAUGCUUAGGAAUCUGCCUAUUAGUGGGGGACAACAUCUCGAAAGGGAUGCUAAUACCGCAUACGUCCUACGGGAGAAAGCAGGGGAUCACUUGUGACCUUGCGCUAAUAGAUGAGCCUAAGUCGGAUUAGCUAGUUGGUGGGGUAAAGGCCUACCAAGGCGACGAUCUGUAGCGGGUCUGAGAAGAUGGUCCGACACACUGGGACUGAGACACGGCCCAGACUCCUACGGGAGGCAGCAGUGGGGAAUAUUGGACAAUGGGGUGAACCCUGAUCCAGCCAUGCCGCGUGUGUGAAGAAGGCCUUAUGGUUGUAAAGCACUUUAAGCGAGGAGGAGGCUCUUUUGGUUAAUACCCAAGAUGAGUGGACGUUACUCGCAGAAUAAGCACCGGCUAACUCUGUGCCAGCCGCCGCCGUAA
rnacentral:rRNA from 1 species